rnacentral:rRNA from 1 species
UUGGAGGGCAAGUCUGGUGCCAGCAGCCGCGGUAAUUCCAGCUCCAAUAGCGUAUAUUAAAGUUGUCGCAGUUAAAAAGCUCGUAGUUGAAUUUCGGGAUUGACACAUCGGUCGUGCCUUAAGGGGUAUGAACUGGUGUAGUCAAUUUCUCACCUUCUGGAGAACCGCGAUGCCCUUAAUUGGGUGUCACGGGGAACCAGGACCUUUACUUUGAAAAAAUUAGAGUGUUUAAAGCAGGCAUUUUGCUUGAAUACAUUAGCAUGGAAUAAUAAAAUAGGACGGCAUGAUUCUAUUUUGUUGGUUUCUAGGAUCACCGUAAUGAUUAAUAGGGAUAGUUGGGGGCAUUAGUAUUCAAUUGUCAGAGGUGAAAUUCUUGGAUUUAUUGAAGACUAACUACUGCGAAAGCAUUUGCCAAGGAUGUUUUCAUUAAUCAAGAACGAAAGUUAGGGGAUCGAAGACGAUCAGAUACCGUCGUAGUCUUAACCAUAAACUAUGCCGACUAGGAAUCAGACGGUGUUAAUUUUUUAAUGACUCGUUUGGCACCUUACGGGAAACCAAAGUGUUUGGGUUC